rnacentral:misc_RNA from 1 species
UCUCCGUAGGUGAACCUGCGGAGGGAUCAUUACCGAGUGAGGGGGCUUCGCGCCCUCGACCUCCCAACCCUUUGUUUAAUCAACUCUGUUGCCUCGGGGGCGACCCGGCCCACGCGUCGGGCGCCCCCAGAGGACCAAUCAAUCCUGCAUCCUUGCGUCGGAGCAUUGAAAGCAAAUCAAUCAAAACUUUUAACAACGGAUCUCUUGGUUCUGGCAUCGAUGAAGAACGCAGC